rnacentral:rRNA from 1 species
AUUGAACGCUGGCGGCAGGCCUAACACAUGCAAGUCGAACGGUAACAGGAAGAAGCUUGCUUCUUUGCUGACGAGUGGCGGACGGGUGAGUAAUGUCUGGGAAACUGCCUGAUGGAGGGGGAUAACUACUGGAAACGGUAGCUAAUACCGCAUAACGUCGCAAGACCAAAGAGGGGGACCUUCGGGCCUCUUGCCAUCGGAUGUGCCCAGAUGGGAUUAGCUAGUAGGUGGGGUAACGGCUCACCUAGGCGACGAUCCCUAGCUGGUCUGAGAGGAUGACCAGCCACACUGGAACUGAGACACGGUCCAGACUCCUCCGGGAGGCAGCAGUGGGGAAUAUUGCACAAUGGGCGCAAGCCUGAUGCAGCCAUGCCGCGUGUAUGAAGAAGGCCUUCGGGUUGUAAAGUACUUUCAGCGGGGAGGAAGGGAGUAAAGUUAAUACCUUUGCUCAUUGACGUUACCCGCAGAAGAAGCACCGGCUAACUCCGUG